UUGUGCGGGUUUAGACCCGCAGCGGAAAGCUCAGUAACACGUGGCCAAGCUACCCUGUGGACGGGAAUACUCUCGGGAAACUGAGGCUAAUCCCCGAUAACGCUUUGCUCCUGGAAGGGGCAAAGCCGGAAACGCUCCGGCGCCACAGGAUGCGGCUGCGGUCGAUUAGGUAGACGGUGGGGGUAACGGCCCACCGUGCCCAUAAUCGGUACGGGUUGUGAGAGCAAGAGCCCGGAGACGGAAUCUGAGACAAGAUUCCGGGCCCUACGGGGCGCAGCAGGCGCGAAACCUUUACACUGUACGAAAGUGCGAUAAGGGGACUCCGAGUGUGAAGGCAUAGAGCCUUCACUUUUGUACACCGUAAGGUGGUGCACGAAUAAGGACUGGGCAAGACCGGUGCCAGCCGCCGCGGUAAUACCGGCAGUCCGAGUGAUGGCCGAUCUUAUUGGGCCUAAAGCGUCCGUAGCUGGCUGAACAAGUCCGUUGGGAAAUCUGUCCGCUUAACGGGCAGGCGUCCAGCGGAAACUGUUCAGCUUGGGACCGGAAGACCUGAGGGGUACGUCUGGGGUAGGAGUGAAAUCCUGUAAUCCUGGACGGACCGCCGGUGGCGAAAGCGCCUCAGGAGAACGGAUCCGACAGUGAGGGACGAAAGCUAGGGUCUCGAACCGGAUUAGAUACCCGGGUAGUCCUAGCUGUAAACGAUGUCCGCUAGGUGUGGCGCAGGCUACGAGCCUGCGCUGUGCCGUAGGGAAGCCGAGAAGCGGACCGCCUGGGAAGUACGUCUGCAAGGAUGAAACUUAAGG
rnacentral:rRNA from 1 species